AACGAACGCUGGCGGCAGGCUUAACACAUGCAAGUCGAACGCAUCCUUCGGGGUGAGUGGCAGACGUGUGAGUAACGCGUGGGAACGUGCCCUUCAGUUCGGGAUAACCCAGGGAAACUUGGGCUAAUACCGGAUACGUGCGAGAGCAGAAAGAUUUAUCGCUGAAGGAUCGGCCCGCGUCUGAUUAGCUAGUUGGUGGGGUAAUGGCCCACCAAGGUGACGAUCAGUAGCUGGGCUGAGAGGAUGAUCAGCCACAUUGGGACUGAGACACGGCCCAAACUCCUACGGGAGGCAGCAGUGGGGAAUAUUGGACAAUGGGCGCAAGCCUGAUCCAGCCAUGCCGCGUGAGUGAUGAAGGCCUUAGGGUUGUAAAGCUCUUUCGUCCGGGACGAUAAUGACGGUACCGGAAGACGAAGCCCCGGCUAACUUCGUGCCAGCCGCCGCCGCGG
rnacentral:rRNA from 1 species